GCGGCUGGGGGAUCAGCGGCCCGGACGCCUCCCGGCGGGUCUUUGCUCAAAUAUCGUUUUUUCAGAUAAGUUUUCCCUGACAGCCCAGUCUAAAGUAACACCCAGUCAGCUCAAUCCCUUAUCCUGUUUGAUUUUUCGCCAUACCUCUUAUCACUUCCAACUAAGAUGCAUGGGUUGGAAUUGGAGCCUCUCCUGGUACCUGACUACACCCAGCACCAUGUGGCUACUAACCGCUCUUCAAUCACCUGUUGAUGCCUCCCAGAAAAAAACGCCGCCAAACAUCCCAGAAAGCCCAGCUGCUAUUCCACCAACAGCCCCUGGAGGGCCCCAAACACUGCUAUAGAUCGCCACCGCUUCCCAUCACCCACACUAGACAGGUGCCCAGCAAGCCCAUUGACCACAACACCAUCACUUCCUGGGUAUCACCUCAGUUUGAUACAACACCAGAAAGCUGGUUCCCAGCCAACAGGAAAGGGAAACAUCAUCACCGAGACCAGGCAAGACAUUCAAAUCGAAAAUCUGUCACCUCCAAGUUUCCACAUCUAACAUUUGAGAGUCUACAGUCUUCUUCCAGUUCAGCCACACUUGGAGGCCCCUUAAUCCAGCAGUGCCCCAAUCAUUCAGUAAAGGACAUUUCCGAAACGCCCUUAGUUCCAAUGCUCAGUCCCCCAAGCUGUGGGGAAAUGUCAGCACAUGCACUUCAAGACUUGCCUUAUAUGUUCAUUGCACCUGAUAUCCAGACCCCAGAGUCAUCUUCUGUGAAGCAGGGGCUGCUUCCCCCAGAUCAGAAGGAAAACAGCCUGCCAAGCUGCUCCCUUCACUCUAGCACUCCUGAGAGCCCAGAGCCUGGGCCUGUUCUGGUUAAAGACACCCCUGAGGAGAAGUAUGGGGUGAAGGUCACGUGGAGGAGACGACGGCACCUGUUCACUUACCUCAGGGAGAGAGGGAAGCUCAGCAAAAGCCAGUUCCUUGUGAAAAACUGACUGGAUUUCUGAUAUCAGUAAUCUCAAGAAAUUGAUUGCUGUUGUUCAUAGAGUUGCUAAAGUUCCUUUUCUGACUUACAGAAGAGUUCAUCAAUAGAAUAAAAUGGAAAUAAUACCAAUAACAUCAAGAAAAAAGUUUCAGAUUGUGGAGUCAUCCAAGUAGAAGACAGAUGAGCCUAGAAUACUAACGUUUCUCCUCAGAUGAGGAAGAAUGGAUUUCAAAGGAGUCUUUCUCUGGCAGUUCUAAUUUGAUUUUUGCGUGCUUUUCCUCAGAAGAAAUGUUUUGUUCCAACCAGAGGUGUUCUCGGUGUCUCAUUUAGGAAUUGGACAAGGUGAAUCUACUUGUCAGUUAACUUAGGGACAGUUACUUCAUUAAUAGCUAUUGCUCCCAUGGACACAAUGAAACCUGAGGACUUUCUCACCA